CCUCUGUCUCUGCUCCUGAGCUCAGCUGACGAUCCGCACCUGCACCUCGUCAGCCUCCUCCUCUGCUUGCCACACCUGCCAGCAAUCAGCCUCAUCUCUGCCUGUAUAUCAACCCCCGGUUCUCCACACAAUCUCUGCUUGAUCGAUGUUGCUCCUAACCUGGUUCACUCACCUCCGUUGUGUCAGCUGGGCUCGCCACCCUGCCCUCUCCCCUCGGACCUCUUCCACGGUGUCCUCUCGGGCCUCACAGUCAGCCUGCCACCACACUCCUCCACCAACCCCCAAGUCAGUCCUCCCGUGCCUCCUCUCUCCCUCGGCCCCCGUUGCCUCGUCCCAGCCUCCUUAGACCUGUCUGCUACUUGGCCCCCCCAGUGUUCCCCGGCAUCCACCUCUCCCUCACCUCCCGUUUUCCCCUCAAUAAAACCUCUUUCACCGGA